CAAACAAACAACUCCAAAGAGCACUCUAAUACUUAGUAUUUACCAUGAGAUCAAAAGGACGCCUUUCUUGAGCAAGAAUCUCAUCCUUUGUGGGAAUUAAGUAAAAGCAGUUACCCUUAAGGGAACACCAAUUUGUGGAGCAGCGAGGCCAACUCCAGGAGCCAAUCUCAUGACUUUAAUCAUAUCAUCAAUUAUCUUCUGAAUACGCUCUGACCCUAUCUCUUCCGGGUCAACUUCUCGGGCUUUCUCGUGCAGAACCGGGUCUCCAGCUCCCACUAUCUCCGAGAUGAGGAAGAUGACGGCAGAUUGUACAGCUUACGGUUCAGCAAGUAUGAGGAACCGGGUCUCGUGACGGGGAAACGGAUCGAGCGACAUGUCACGGCGGCGGAAACCGGAAGUAGACGAAGUGAUACUCUGAAAAGGGUUUCCAUGGUGGCCGUCGCUUGGUCUCGGUGGAGAGCGGUCAUUUCUUUGGAAAUUAUGUCUCUUUGGGCCUAUAACCGCUCGUUCGGCCCAUUAUUGUGGCAGCCCAAUUGCAUAGCUUAAUAUAUUCUUCAAGUUUUAACUAAUUGGGUCAACUUUCAUGGAGCAAUUUUGGGUUCGAGUUUUUAAAAAGUGUAGUAAGCAAAGUAUUGAUCUACUUAGUGUAAUAAAAUAUAUAUUUGAAUCCUUGUAUUAAUCUGUGUAAUUUGGCUUUGCAUUUUAUAGAAACAAGUAACAUAAUUGUGUUUCA